UUAACUUAGUCCUCUCUUUCAGCUGGGUGAGUGGUCUCUCCCCCCAGAGAUGGGAAUCUCAUGUAGCCCAGGCUGGCCUCAAGCUACCAAUCCUCCUGUCUUCAUUAACCAAAGUCUGGGACCACAGACCCCGGACAGAAGGCAUGUAAGAAGAGUGACAAGUGCAGAGGACACAGUGGCAGGUGCCAGAGGCUGAUGUUCAACACUUCCCCACCCCGAACUGAAGUCUACUCUGGUCCUCUCCCGGCAUGCACUGUGAGAAGCACUAAAGGGUCUAUUCUGAGGGUGCUGUUGUCCUGGGAGAGCGUCAUCCUGUCUGUGAGCUGCAGACUCUGGCUAUUGAAAAGCCAUCGGACGGAGACUCCAGUGUCCUUUGAGAAGCAGAUAAUUUGUCAUGGGAUUAAGAUGGCCCAGCUAAUCUUAAAGAUGUUAAAGCCUAGACCUCGGGAUGGGGAGAAUCCCAAACUAAGGAAUUUCUAUUAAGAGAGAGAUGUUGUCUCCUGGCUGCACAGCACACACGGGAGAGGAAUUGGUGGGGGAAAGGACCAGCUUGAUUCACCAAUUGCCGGCUUUUGGGCAUUUCCAGGG
rnacentral:lncRNA from 1 species